AUGGCUAAUCCGCCUAGCGGUUCUGAAAGACUACAUUCUGAAAUCCAGAGGCAAAAUGCUGAGCUAACCCUCGAGGUUCAUGACUUAAGGAGGCAAAUUGUUGAACAACAGGCAGAGAGGCAAAGAGAACGAGAAGAAGAGCGAGUUGCCAGGGAAAAACAGCUUGAGGAGGAACACAUAGCAAGGCAGAGAGAACUUGAGGAGGCUAAGCAAGCAAUGAUGCAUGAUAUUAUGAAUGAGGUUAGGCAAUCAAUGAGGUCGGAUGUUGAGCAGAUAUUGGGAACUCAACAGGAAGACGCACAUCAGUUUUCCCAAGCAAGGGAUGCUCCAAGAAACGGAACUAGAAAUUGGUCAAGUUCUCUGUUUAAAAAUUCAAGCAUGAUUACUCAACACCAGCUUAUGCAAGCAGCUAAACACCAUUGUCAUCCUCCAAGUGACAAGGAUGGUUUUCUCUAA
rnacentral:rRNA from 1 species